CCUACGGGCGGCAGCAGUGGGGGAUAUUGCACAAUGGGGGAAACCCUGAUGCAGCGACGCCGCGUGUGGGAAGACGGUCCUCUGGAUUGUAAACCACUGUCCCCAGGGACGAAGAUGACGGUACUUGAAGAAAAAGCAUCGGCUAACUCCGUGCCAGCAGCCGCGGUAAUACGGAGGAUGCGAGCGUUAUCCGGAUUUAUUGGGUUUAAAGGGUGCGUAGGCGGACUGUUAAGUCAGCGGUAAAAGCCCGGGGCUCAACCCCGGCGAGCCGUUGAAACUGGCUGUCUUGAGAUGUCGAGAGGUAUGCGGAAUGCGCAGUGUAGCGGUGAAAUGCUUAGAUAUUGCGCAGAACUCCGAUUGCGAAGGCAGCAUACCGGCGGCGAUCUGACGCUGAGGCACGAAAGCGUGGGUAUCGAACAGGAUUAGAUACCCUUGUAGUC
rnacentral:rRNA from 1 species